GGAUUUGGGUCUGAGUUCUGGGAGACUGGAGGUGCCUCUAACUCGACUGAGCGAGGUCACUGAUGGAGUGGAUUUGGAGGGCAGCUCAGAAAUUCGCUUCCAGACGUGUUAGCACAUUAGACAUUCGUGUGGAGCUGUUGAGUGGGCUGCAGGAUAUACAAGGUUCAGAGAGGAGGUCCAGCGAGUAGUACAGAUGUCCUUGGCACACAGAUGACAUUUUAAACCAUGGACAUGAUGAGAACUACGGGAAGUGACUGCACGGUAAAGCUUGAUCUGAGCUCUGGGACAGUCUAGUGCGUAGACCUUGGGGAGACGGAGUAAACAUCAGGGAGCUGGGCAGGAGGAGCCCUGACCGUGAUGAGGAGGAAAAACCAGAGAAUGUCCUGUCCUGGAUUCAAGUGACAAGAGUCUUUCCAUGAAGGAAGCAAGAGGGGGUCUACCCCCAGAGUGUUCUGUGAAUAUUACUCCCUUCUGCAAGCUGGUAUCACCAACGCAGCCAGGGAGCCAGGCCCUGAACUGUCCCAACUGGCCCCAUCCUGCUCCGUGCCCCAGAGGAGUCCCACAGUGCUUUCUGACCUGCAGCGGGGGAAACACCCUGCAGCGGGGGAAACACCGUGGCUGUUGCUUUUUAACCACUGACCAACGUGAUACAUUAAGGUAGCUGAUGGUGUCACAGGCAUCCGGGCCCUCUGGGAGCUGAUAUAUUUUUUCAACCCUGCUCUGCCUGCCAGCUGGUAGACACAUCCCCAGAGGAAGGCAGGUCUGUGUCUCGGACUGAACCCCCAUGCAGGUCGGGGUUGAGCGGACUCUCUGUUGCCCGCCAUGGGGCUGUUCUCCUUCGCGUCCAGGCUCGUGGAGAUCCAAGUCAGCAAUGCUGGCUGGGGCUGUCCGACUUGCCCAUCACCUUGGGAACAAGGAGAUGAAGGCAUUCUGGAUUUUGUGACGGUUUCUCAUCUGGCUUUUUAAAAAAACCCAUCAACGCGUUAAGACCCAAGGCUCUGGGAGCAUACUGUAGCCUUUAAAGAGAGCCCUGUGCCUGGAUCCCCUGAAAUGUAUGCUGGGGUUAAUAUGCUGAAAGGUGGCUUCAGAAGCAAAGUGACAUCAAGGUCCUCAAUUCUGUAACUGGCCAUGGCCAUCAUCACUGUCUUCAGGUGAUAAGUGGCUGACUCCAUCACACCCACCCUGCACACUCUCCUCCUGACACAACUGACCUUCCCGUUGUGCCUGAGGGACGGAGAGACUUUCCGUGGCAGAAGGUGGUUGGACCCCACGUGGACACAUGCUGUUUACGGGGGGCGGCAAUCUCUCUCUCUCUCUCUGUGUUGACCUGGUGGUAUUCGCCACCAGCGUGUCCGCCCACCCUCACUGAGGGUAGCCAAGUGGCCCAGGGGGACCAGUGGAGUCCUCUAACCCCAGUCACUGGUCAGAGAUGGGCAAGUGACUGAGUGUGGACAAGUGGCUUUCUCAGUACAAGGCUGUUCACUUUCUCCUGAGGAGGUGACCACCAGGGGCAGGAAGGAAAGGCAGAGAUGAAAAGAGAACCAGCAAGCUCCUUGUUUGCUCUCCUGCGAGGCAGGUGCUAUCAUGAAAAACCCUCUAGUUUAUAAAAGAACAUGCAUACAUGCUAAGUCAGUUACCGCGCCCUCCCCUCCAGGGGAUCUUCCUGACCCAGGGAUCGAACCCAUGUCUCUUACAUCUCCUGUGUUGCAGGUGGGUUCCUUACCACUAGCACCACCUGGGAAGCCCUUAUAAAAGAACAGUUGGGUCGAAGUCAUGUUUCUGGAAGCUGGAAUAAAUUAAAGUUAGCUGCUCAGUUGUGGGGAAGACAUUUAAGGUUUUUCAUUCACCUGAGCUCCCCAUACCCUUGCUUUUCUUUUUUCCCUUCUGAUAAGAAUUACCUCCCUGAAGUUUCUAAGAGCUGGCCUGGGUUAGAGUUCCUGGAGGAGACCAGGUGGAACAUCCCCAUCUCAAAGGAGCCGGGAAAGCAUGGGAGUUCCUCCAAGAAGGACUUUCCCUUCCUAAAUCCAGGUCUUUUAUAAUGUCUGCACCUCCCCCCUUUUGAGAUGAAGAGGGGUUGCUUUGAAUGCCUUCUAGAACUGCAUUUCUGUUCUUGUAGAGACUAGGUUUGUAAGACAGGACUGUUUCUAAUUCCACAAGGAAUUGGGUUGCAGCUUAAAUGAACGAAGCCAACAAGAUUUUUUUUACUUCGUUGAAUUUUUUUUUUUUUUUAACAGCGGUGACAGCCUUGGGAUCCCAAGAGGACUUCACAGUCCAAGAUUCCUGUUUUGAGUUCUCUCCAGCUUUAUUCCGGAUUUGGACAAAGAUUGUCCUUCUGAGCCUGCAGAUGGGAUCCUGGUCAAUCCAGCAGACACCAGCCAGGGUGAGCAUUCUGACCAGAGUCAGUUCUGAAUCUGCCUACCAUGGCCAGCUGAGAGAGAAAGAACCCAUCUAAAAAUCGCUGGUCAUCUAUUGUCAAUUCCUCCUCAAGUUGAAGAAACUUACGCUGAACAAGAUUACAACCUGCCACUGAUACUGCUCGUCCACUACUUCCUGGAGAAUGUGUCCACUGAGAAAGACAGCAGCUGAAGGACUCCUGCUCCCCUCCUGGGAAACGACCUUUUCUGGUACUGCUCACCAGUCCCUGCACAGCUAAGCUUGAGAACCUCCGUCCCACCUGCAAGGAGUCACAGGACCUGAAUGGACAGCAGAGCCAUCUGCGAUCUCACCCUCAGGCUCUCCUCGCAGCAGAAGCAGAAGGGAGAUUCAUGGAAAGUAACCUACCACGAGCUCUUGAUGGCCACAUGGCUGCCCAGUCACAAGGAUCAAACCUUGGGUAGAGACGUCACAAUGGAUGAAGGCUCCACCUACCUUCUGGUCCCUCCUGCACAAAAGCUGGCAAUCUCAAACCAAACUGACUAGGGAGAGAAGUGGCCACCACGGAGAUCCCUCCUCCCCUGGCCAAGAGCUGAUGCAAAGGAGGCCAUGAUCGGCAGUCUCUCCUUACCUCUUGAAGAUACUGCAGACCCUGCUGGUAAAGCAACAGCUGCCCAAUAAAAAAUCCCUAGACUGACCAGAGUUGUUCCUGAUGAGACAAGCCUCUGACAGCCUCUAGCUGAGCAAGGAGGUGUCUGAGCUGUGACCCACACCCCUGCACCUGGAUCAACACUUCGGGGGAAGGUGAGACUCAGCCACAGAAGAUUACUGAACAAGCCCAGCACUUUCUUAGGCCAACAGCCCAACCAACACAGUCUGUCUUUGGGGGUCAUUCUGUUUACAAGAGUAGUUACCAUAGGGUGCUGUGUUCUCUCAGAAGCUUUAAAUACAGCUUUGCAGCCACAGGCAACCAAGCACAUGCUCUCCCUCAAACAGAACAUCAGAAAAGGAGCAGAAUGACUGACUGAAAGAGUGUGAACCCAGGGUCACGGCCUGUGAAGACCACCCAGAGAUUCAGCGAAAAGCCGGGAAGAACUCCAGAGCCAUAGCUGGGGGUAGCCCUGCUGCCUUAUAUUUGGAUCACUGAUGAAAAGGGGGGAACUGUUAAAAACAGCAGACCCAAAAUGCAGUUGUAUAGGCUAAGCUCCACGUCAUCAAACCAAGACUUGACUUUACAGUUUCAGCUCCCCCUGGAAUGGAAUCCCCCAAUCUGCACGAUGAGGACAUCACCUGCCAGACCCCGCCGUCCCCUAAAGGAAAGCAACUGGGCCGUCACCACCUGCCUCUUCAGCUGGUGUAACUGCCUGUGCCUGCCUGCUCCCUCCUGCCUGCACGCCCCUGCUUCUGUGCAGCAUCUUGGAGCUCCUUGCUUUCUGCUGGACUGGAAGCUCCUUGAUUCACAAAUCACUGAAAUAAAGCCAGUAGGAUCUUUCAGAUUUA